CCUUGGGGUUUGGUGAUUCCAACUAAGUUAUUGGCAAAAAAAUUAGCACAAGCCUGAAAUGGACACAUCCCAAUACAAAUAAUGUUGUGGACAUGAAACAGCAACUAAACACAAUCAUGAAGAUAAGCUUGUAUUUGUUGGAUCUCAUCAAAAUCGAAGCAGACACAUCACAGCGAAACAAUUACACAGACUCACUCAAAUACUCAUGAUUCAAUCAUAUACCCAGAAAGUUGAUUGGCUGCAACAUCAGAUAAAUCAACAAAGGAGAAAACAGAGCGAUGGUAAAGUACCUGAGAGAUAAGGCUAGAGAGGAA